rnacentral:rRNA from 1 species
CCUACGGGUGGCAGCAGUGGGGAAUAUUGCACAAUGGGGGGAACCCUGAUGCAGCGACGCCGCGUGAGUGAAGAAGUAUUUCGGUAGGUAAAGCUCUAUCAGCAGGGAAGAAAAUGACGGUACCUGACGAAGAAGACCCGGCGAACGACGUGCCAGCAGCCGCGGUAAUCCGUAGGGGGCAAGCGUUCUCCCGAGUGACUGGGUGUAAAGGGAGCGUAGACGGUUAGGCACGUCUGAAGUGACAGCCCAAGGCUCAACCAUGGGACUGCUUGGGACACUGUAAAACUGGAGUGCAGGAGAGGUAAGCGUACUUCCUCGUGUCGCGGUGUCCUUCGUAGAUAUUAGGAGGCCCACCAGUGGC